rnacentral:rRNA from 1 species
UUUUUUAAGAGUUUGAUCCUGGCUCAGGAUGAAUGUUGGCGGUGUGCCUGAGAUAUGCAAGUCGACCGACCAAAUCGCAAGAUUUGGAGUGGCGGACGGCUGAGUAACACAUAGGGACUUACCCCUUUUUGAAGAAUAGCCCAUCGAAAGGUGGGAUAAUACUUCAUGGUAUGGAUACCGCAAGGUGUUUAUUAAAGAGAUUAACUUCUCGAAAAGGGAUGGACCUGUGGCUUAUCAGAUAGUUGGUGGGGUAACGGCCUACCAAGUCUACGACGAGUAGCUGGCCUGAGAAGGUGGUCAGCCAGAGGGGGACUGAGACACGGCCCCCACUCCUACGGGAGGCAGCAAUCAGGAAUAGUCGGCAAUGGACGAAAGUCUGACCGCGCGACACCGCGUGUAGGAAUAAGCUCUAACGAGCGUAAACUACUGUGAUAGAGGAAAAAUGCUAGCUUAGGCUGGCUUGAUGGUACUCUAUAAGAAAGGGGCCGCUAACUGCGUGCCAGAAGCGUCGGUAAUACGUGGGCCCCAAACAUUAUCCGGUUUUACUGGGUGUAAAAAGUAGUGUAGGUGUCUUGAUAAGUCUUGUUUUAAAUACUGUGGCUCAACCAUAGAAAAGGGCAGGAUACUACCAAGAUAGAGUUUGCUUUAGAGAA